rnacentral:rRNA from 1 species
GUACGUACUGACAGCAGGGUACGGGUAUUAGGGUUCGAUUCGGAUAGGGAGCCUGAGAACGGCUACCAAUGAAGGAGGCAGCAGGCGCGCAAAUUACCCAAUCCUAAUACAGGGAGGUAGUGACAAGAAAUAACAAUACAGAACCUUACGGUUUUGUAAUUGGAAUGAGUUAAGUAUAAACCCCUUAACAAGUAUCAAUUGGAGGGCAAGUCUGGUGCCAGCAGCCGCGGUAAUUCCAGCUCCAAUAGCGUAUAUUAAAGUUGUUGCAGUUAAAAAGCUCGUAGUUAAUCUUCUGUUAAUUUUUAUAUAUAAUAUCUCGAUAUUUAUAUAAUAUUAACAUAAUUCAUAUUACUUUUUAGUAUAUGAAACUUUACUUUGAGAAAAUUAGAGUGCUUAAAGCAGGCUAUUGCCUUGAAUACUCCAGCAUGGAAUAAUAUUAAGGAUUUUUAUUCUUCUUAUUGGUUCUAGAAUAAAAAUGAUGAUUAAUAGGAACAGUUGGGGGGCAUUUGUAUUUAACAGUCAGAGGUGAAAUUCUUAGAUG